rnacentral:lncRNA from 13 species
AUGCUGCGGGCUCCUCCGGGGGACGAUCUGGGCAGCGCGCUCGCUGGAUGGAGACAGAAAGAUCCAGGAGCUAGUGACACAUCUCGCAACAGAGCCAGAUCAGAACCCAGCUCUCCUGCCCCUGCAGCCUGGAGGGCUCAACCACCCUUCCCUUGGCUCCCACUCCCAGCUGAGGCUCAGCCUGGCAGUGCUUUUCUGACACCCACUUCUUUUCUCCUUCCUCCAGGCAAGAAGCGCACGUUUAAACCUCAUUAUCUGGCUAAGUAUAAACCUCAGGGAGAAAAGGGUUUUGUUUUUGUUUUUCUCAGUCUGUAAGCUAAGGUUGAGCUGACUUUCAGAGUCCACGCAAAUAUCUGUUUGGUGGGUCACCACCCAGAAAGGAAUUCUCCUAAGCACUGAAUCAAGGCUCUGUAUGUAAAGCAUAAAUCCCCUAGGAGAACUCCUCGCCCUCCUACACAGACACACUGGUGCAUGCACACACACCCCACUCUCUGCACAGAGAGCAUCUGAGCUAGGAGCUGGCAAGUGGGGCACCAGUCCUGUAGCAAAGAGGCACACCACAUGCGCGCGCGCGCGCACACACACACACACACUCACACACAGAGAGAGACACACACUCUUACACAGUUCUCCCUUGCUUG